rnacentral:rRNA from 1 species
GUGGGGAAUAUUGGACAAUGGGCGAAAGCCUGAUCCAGCCAUGCCGCGUGUGUGAAGAAGGUCUUCGGAUUGUAAAGCACUUUAAGUUGGGAGGAAGGGCAGUAAGUUAAUACCUUGCUGUUUUGACGUUACCGACAGAAUAAGCACCGGCUAACUUCGUGCCAGCAGCCGCGGUAAUACGAAGGGUGCAAGCGUUAAUCGGAAUUACUGGGCGUAAAGCGCGCGUAGGUGGAUUUGUAAGUUGGAGGUGAAAUCCCCGGGCUCAACCUGGGAACUGCCUCCAAAACUGCAUGACUGGAGUACGGUAGAGGGUAGUGGAAUUUCCUGUGUAGCGGUGAAAUGCGUAGAUAUAGUAAGGAACACCAGUGGCGAAGGCGACUACCUGGACUGAUACUGACGCUGAGGUGCGAAAGCGUGGGAAGCAAACAGGAUUAGAUACCCUAGUAGUCC